CCGCAGUUUGCAAAGAAGCUGUCAUAUCGCAGAAUGUGGCUAAGCAAAUGCUAACUGGGAAGCUGCUUCCAUUUCCCUAAGGUGAUUGGAUGGUAGGAAACUGAGAGCUGAUCAAUCUGAAAAGGAAGUUUAUAGGCUGCAAAUAUGCAACUUCAAGGAACUCCUAACUUACAAGUUCAGGAACAGCUGCCCAUAACCACAGGCUGGUCCAGAAUUCAUGGGUUUAAGUGACGCUCCUGCCUGAGCCUCCAAGUAUCUGGGACUACAGGCCAGGCUUGUGCCACUAGGCCCAGCUUUCAUUUCAAUUUUUUUCUGUGGUAUGUGUGUUGAACCUAGGUCCUCUGCAGUGAGCUACAUCCCCACUCCUUUUAAAAUUUUUCAUUUGGAGACAGGCUCUUGCUAAAUCACUAAUUUGCCCAGGUUGGACUUGAACUUGUGAUCUUCCUACCUCAGCUUACGUGAGUGCUGGGAUUAGAGGUGUGCACCAUCACGCCUGGCUCCCAUUUUAAUUUUUAAAAACAAAGGUAACUGUUUGGUCUAAAUUAAACACAACUGGAAAAGAUUAG
rnacentral:lncRNA from 1 species